rnacentral:tRNA from 1 species
GGAAAGGUGGCUGAGUGGACGAAAGCGCCCGCCUGCUAAGUGGGUAUACCAAUAGGUAUCGCGGGUUCGAAUCCCGCCCUUUCCGCCA